rnacentral:rRNA from 1 species
GCGGGGGUAAUGGCCCACCAAGGCGAUGAUGGAUAGCUGGUCUGAGAGGACGAUCAGCCACACUGGGACUGAGACACGGCCCCAGACUCCUACGGGAGGCAGCAGUGGGGAAUCUUGCGCAAUGGACGAAAGUCUGACGCAGCAACGCCGCGUGAGUGAUGAAGGUCUUUGGAUCGUAAAGCUCUUUCGGGAGGGAAGAAAUGGUUGUGUGCUAAUACCACAUAGCCUUGACGGUACCUUCAGAAGAAGCACCGGCUAACUCUGUGCCAGCAGCCGCGGUAAUACAGAGGUGCAAGCGUUGUUCGGAAUCAUUGGGCGUAAAGCGAGUGUAGGCGGUCGAAAAGGUCGGUGUGAAAUCCAGGGCUUAACCUGGAACUGCAUUCGAAACCGUUCGACUUGAGUACGGGAGAGGGUCGUGGAAUUGUCGGUGUAGAGGUGAAA